rnacentral:rRNA from 1 species
UACGUAGGGGGCUAGCGUUGUCCGGAAUCAUUGGGCGUAAAGCGCGCGUAGGCGGUCAGGUAAGUCCGGUGUGAAAGUCAAAGGCUCAACCUUUGAAUGCCGCUGGAAACUGCCUGACUUGAGUCCGGUAGGGGCGAGUGGAAUUCCUGGUGUAGCGGUGAAAUGCGCAGAUAUCUGGAGGAAUACCGGUGGCGAAGGCGGCAUCCUGGACCAUUACUGACGCUGAGGCGCGAAAGCUAGGGGAGCAAACGGG